AUAACUCAAAUUUGUAUGGAGUUGGAACAGCUUCCCUUCAUUUGCCGCUAGGGGGCGCUGUUCCAAAUCCAUAUAAAUUUGAGUUA
rfam:Bombyx mori DNA, contig: Bm_scaf50_contig26443, strain: p50T/Dazao, build 2, whole genome shotgun sequence.